rnacentral:rRNA from 1 species
GUGCAGCAGGCGCGAAACCUCCGCAAUGCGCGAAAGCGCGACGGGGCCACCCCGAGUGCCGCCCGCUGAGGGCGGCUUUUCCCCGGUGUAGACAGCCGGGGGAAUAAGGGGAGGGCAAGUCUGGUGUCAGCCGCCGCGGUAAUACCAGCUCCCCGAGUGGUGGGGACGAUUAUUGGGCCUAAAGCGUCCGUAGCCGGCCCGGCAAGUCUCCCGUUAAAUCCAGCGAUCUAAUCGCUGGACUGCGGGAGAUACUGUCGGGCUAGGGGGCGGGAGAGGCCGGCGGUAUUCCCGGGGUAGGGGUGAAAUCCUAUAAUCCCGGGAGGACCACCAGUGGCGAAGGCUGCCGGCUGGAACGCGCCCGACGGUGAGGGACGAAAGCCGGGGGAGCGAACCGGAUUAGAUACCCCCGUAGU